GAUGGAAUAGCUGACAGAAGAAUAUUGAUCCCAAAGGGAAAAAUUACGUAUUCCACACGCAUUAAGAGACUUUUGGUUACAUCUAAUUGAUUGGUGUAUAUAAUUCCCUAUAUUUUUUAUGGAUUGUUUCAAAGUUGCUUAACUCUGAGACUAUUAAUUAUAUUAUGGCCCAGCUUAAUAACUUUUAUAUUUUUUUAUGAGAAACACUGAAUUUCAUACACAAGAUAGAU
rnacentral:lncRNA from 1 species